AUACCCUUAGGGUUUCUUAGUGGUUUAAGGUUGGGAAAAUUAUCUUGGCUCCAUUAUGUAGUGCAUGAGCUCACGAGUUCAUAGACAUGUAUUGGGCCCAAAUUAGAAUUGAAACAAGAAAGUUACGACAAAAGAAGUGUAAGGAAACUAUCAUAAUUUUUGCAAGUAAAGUGUUAAAAAGUCAAAUUUUUCCUUCUCUUCCCUCAUUUCUCUCUCUCUCUCUCUCUCUCUCUCUCUCUCUCUCUCUCUCUCUCCUUCUCGACAGUCACUAUGCAAACAAUAACUGUUCGUCUUCUCCGACAAAUUUUUUCAUUGUCCGGUCAUUCCAAGCUACGCCACCACCCACAAAAUCUUCGUCUAAGUAUACUCUACCUAACCCAUCCCUCAAUUGAACUCAAAAACCCCAAGAAUAGCCUAAUUUUGGACUGAAAUCAACCCAAAAACCUCCACUCGAUGCCAGCCAGUUUCUGGGAUUUUCGGGCUACUCUGGCCACCGAUUUUGUCGAACAAGGCCACUCUGGCCACUAUUUGGCUGGGGUCCAAGAACUAAAAACACUCCUUCAAUUGUGCUUGACCGGUUGGUAUAAAAAUUGAUCAGUGAUUUGGAGAUUUUCCGGUUGGCAGAAAUCUCUCAUGCCACCCACCGUCGGCGGCGUGUCAGCCAGGUGUCGACGAACUAUUAUCACCCUAAAAUUAACCCCUCGUCAUCUUGAGCAUGACGAUGUGCUCGGAUCAGCAACAUUCGAUCAGCACUCAGACUUCAUGUGCUCAAUCGGAAGGACCUUCGAAGGGUCAAGCAAGCUUGCAUUCACAAGAUGGAUCGAAGAAAGCUUUUGUUGAUAUUACUGAUGGAGAUGUGGUAUUUAGAGACAAUGUGUGGUCGCACAAUCCUUGUGCUUAUGAUGUUCAAAAUGAAGAGAAAUCAACGGCUUAUAGAAAGAUGAGACCUUAAUAAUCAUUCCUUUGUUAGACAUGAGACGCGGUUGCAUUAUCUAAAUAGUAUAUUGGAGAAUGAUGUAGUGUGUGUGAGCAAAUUAAUAAUGGAUUUAUGGACGUUUGGUAUAUUAUGUGCGUUGCUUGACGCUAAUGGAAGGGUUAAAAAUGAUGGUUUGGUGACUUUGGAGGAACAAGUGUGUAUAUUCUUACAUGUACUUGCACAUCAUGUGAAGAAUCGUACUAUUAGAAGUAAAUUUAUUCGAUCGGGUGAGACCAUUAGUAGGUACUUCAACUCUGUGUUGCAAGGAAUUUUAAGAUUGCAAGAUAGCCUAUUGAGAGUGCUGGAACCUGUGGGUGAGAGUUGCACAGAGUAUAGAUGGAAAUGUUUUAAGGUAUGUUUAUUAUGUAUUGGAAAUUUGGAGAAAUUCUAGUAAGUUGUUUUGUCUUCUUUUGAAAUUUUUAGAAUUUAAUUAAAGGUAACCUUUCUUUUAAUAGAAUUUCUUGGGAGCUCUAGAUGGAACUUACAUUAAAGUUUGUGUGCCUGAAACUGAUAAACCGAGAUAUCAAACUAGGAAGGGUGAAAUUGCAACAAAUGUGUUGGCUGUUUGCUCACGCGACACGUAGUUUAUAUUUGUAUUGCUAGGUUGGGAGGGAUCUGCAUAUGACUCUCAAGUCCUUUGUGAUGCCAUAACUAGGCCAAAUUGGUUAAAAGUUCCCACGAGUAAGGCCAUUAGUAAGUAUUCACUUUAUGUGCACUUUUGAAUUAUAUUUAUAUGCCAACACUAAUAGGAAUUGUCAAUUUUUGGUUAUUAGGUUAUUAUUAUCUGGUAGAUGGUGGUUACAUAAAUGAUAAGGAAUUUCUUGCACCAUAUAGAGGAAUAAGUUGUCAUAUAUCUAAAUGGAGAGGUGGAUAUACAGCUGCAAAUCAUCAAGAAUAUUUUAAUAUGAGGCAUUCAAAAGCAAUAAAUUAAUAGAACAAUGUUUUGGGCUGUUGAAAGUUAGGUGGGGCAUGCUAAGGAGUCCGUCUUUUUACCCUAUAGCGACACAAUGUCGGAUAAUUAUAGCUGCUUGUCUUUUACAUAAUCUCAUUAGGAGGGAGAUGUCCAUGGAUCCAAUUGAGCACGAAGUGAAUAAAAUUAAUGAGGCAAAAAAUAUGAUAGAAGGCGAUACAAUUGGCACUGUCGAAGCAUCCAAUUAAUGGACUGCAUGGAGGGAUGACUUGGCCUUGCAACUAUAUAAUGAGUGGAGGGCAACUAGGAAUAACUAGGCAAUUUGUGGUUUCUGUUUCAAAUUGCAGUUUAUGAAUAGCUAGCCAAUUUGUGAAUUCUAUUUCAAUUUGUAUUUGUGUAAUACCUCGAAAAAUUCAAGGUGGAUUUUCAUAUUUUAGUGAAAAAUAAUAUUAUGGUGGAGAAUGAUUAUGGGUAUUUUAUGAAAUGAUUUUGGAUUGAAAUUAUUAAAUUAAGUGUGUUUAAUUUGAAGUUGGACAAACAUGACCAAAAUACCCUUAUGUGUGGAUAAUUACCAAAAUAUCCUUGAAAGCUCAAAAAAAAAAAGAGAAGAAGAAUCUGAAACGUGGAGGGAAUCAAACCAUCCUCCUCCCACUCUUCCCCCAUUGCCUCAUUUCAAAGCUUCCAUUAUGAAGGGAUGAGGAUGAGUCACCUAGUCUAAUUGGUGAGUCACCUAGCCUAAGGGAUUUUUCUUGAUGAAGCUAAGAACUAGGGGAGGUGAGUUGUUGGCAGGAGAGAGAGAGAGAGAGAGAGAGAGAGAGAGAGGAGAA